UCAUGUACAAUGCAAAAUAGUCUUGAAUGCAGGCAAAAACUCAAAGCAUCACUUCAAAGUGAUUUUAAUAGGCUUGAGAAUAAAAACAAAUCAGCUGCUCAUGUAAUGAGCCUCUUGCAGUCUAAUGUUGAUGGCUACAAACAACGAACACAGCGAUCCGUGCAGACACACACGGCUCAUAUUACAGCAAGAAAAAAGCAAAUGGAAGAAAGCAAGGAUGCACUAAAAACUGCACUGGAGCUGAACAAACGGUUGGCAAAUGACUACAGACGUUUAAGGAAGACCCUCCCGGA